ACUAUUAGGCAUAAAGUAUGACUAAAUCAACAGACAAUACCAGAAACUUCUUGACAACUGCCAGGCUCUGAGGACUGAACAGUAAGAGAACUCAGUCACUUCAGCCCUUGAGUGUCACUGCCACUGCAGAAGAACUAAGAGACAAGCUCCUGGCUGGACACUGCCCUAGAAAAGUCUGUUUGCUGGUGAAGGGACAGCUCACUUUCCAGGACAAACUUCUUGCCACAUUUAUCACAGAUCUGCAUGCGCCUGUGAGUAACGUUCAUGUGCUUCUCCAGGUACCAGCGGGUGUUAAACACCCUGGGGCACUUCUCACAGUAUGCACAUCAGACACUGCCCUUGGCUCCCUGAAAUAUGGCUGCUCCUGUGUCUCAUGGAGAUGCGGUUUGCUCGUCUUGGUGUCUGCUAGCACAGAGUAAGGGCUCCCAGACUCCCUUUUAUACACUUUGGUGGACAGGUCGAGCUCCUGGCUGGCACCAUGGUAGAAGAGAACUAACUACUCAAGAAGUGAAAAUAAGAAACUCCUGGAGCCGGCAUGCAGUUCUUCCUGUGUCACAGCACCAACAACACCUUAAGUCAAACAGGGCUUUUCUUAAGGCAAGAGCAGAACACUCCUGAUCUUCUUUCGAAGAGAGCUACAAGGGACUUGGAGCAGUUUGUCUAUAAAGAGAAAAAAAAAUGAGGGAAAAAAAUUAUACCAUUUUCUUCUUAGGCCACAAAAUUUCUCACAACACAUAAAAUGUAAAAUCAUUAUACUCCAUACACUUUGAUUCAUUAUGCACCUCAAAUGGUUUGAAAUGGAUAUUAUUUUACAGGCUUGUAUGAGUCCCCAAUUUCAGUUAGACUGUAAAUUCUAUCAUGCCAAGAGCCACAUCUGUCAAAUUCACCAAUAUAUCUUUAGAGCAUAUAAUAGUCCUAGCAUACAGCAUAUGUUUGAUGAAUAAAUACCUCCUAUUA